UACGUAGGUGGCAAGCGUUGUCCGGAUUUACUGGGCGUAAAGAGCGCGCAGGCGGUCGUUCAAGUCGCGUGUGAAAGCCCCCGGCUCAACUGGGGAGGGUCACGCGAUACUGAUCGACUCGAAGGCAGGAGAGGGAAGUGGAAUUCCCGGUGUAGUGGUGAAAUGCGUAGAUAUCUGGAGGAAUACCGGUGGCGAAGGCGGCAUCCUGGACAAUUACUGACGCUGAGGCGCGAAAGCUAGGGGAGCAAACGGG
rnacentral:rRNA from 1 species